ensembl:lncRNA
CGAUUAAACUCUCAGCAGCAACUUCAAGAAUCAUUUUUCUAUAGGGGCCUGGGAGGAAUUCUGGCAGAAGAGUAAAGUCGAAGUUCUUAGAAGCUCUGAGAAAUCAUGGGCCAUGCAGUAGGGGUCGAAAUGUUAAAAGGCCCACACUUCUUGAAAUAAACAGAAUGGUCCUGAGUGGAUUGCAACUGUUUUGGAAAUAGCUUUGUGAAAAGAGGUUGGAGAUCUACUCAAAAUUCUACGUUAGAGAAACUGAAAAGACAUCUAAUUUCAUUGCUUGGCAGAUGGAGUCUCACUCUGUUGCCCAGGCUGGAGUGCAGUGGCAUGAUCUUGGCUCACUGAAACCUUCACCUCCCGGGCUCAAGCGAUUCUCUUGCCUCAGCCUCCUGUGUAGCUGGGACUAUAUGCGCCCACCACGAUGCCUGGCUAAUUUUUUUUGUAAAAUUCAUCUUUAGUCUUUGAAUUUACAUUGUUCAAAACAGUGUUGGAAGUUUGGUAGAUUAACUUCAGUACUUGAAUACACAAACUCACAGACCGUUAGAAUCUAUGCCUACAAGAUUGCCCUCCUCGCAAUGUGGAACUUUUGGGCGCAGCAUCCUGGCAGGUCUUCUAUCCUCUGCUGAAGCUUACGGAAUACAAAUGCUUUAUUUUUAAAGGUAGUGUGUUACCUCACUGGGGAGCUCCAAAUAAUUAGAAAGCCGAGGUCUGCAUUCAUUUAACCGUUCGUCCUGGGUCUUAUGUCAAUCAGCAGUCACCUCGAUAAUGCUGCCUUAUAAACAAAGUGACUUAAAAUAAGCUUGAAACAAGCAUUUAUUUUCACAUUCAGCAGCCAAGAGAUGACCCAUGUUCAGCUGAUCUAUGCAGGACUCAGUCUUCCUGCAAACUCGCUGGGUUCAGGUCUGCUUCACGCGCUUGCCUGCCAGGGCCUAGGCUAAAGGGGCAGCAGUUGUGAGUGUCCCUUUCCCUCUGUGGAUGGCUAGAGCAUGGCAGGCAAGCCUCAGUACACAGGCACUGAAGGCCUCUGCCUGUGUCAGUUAGCUCAAGGUCCACCGUCAAAGCACAUGGCCAAGCAGGAAAGGAGCAGGCCUGGACCCUUUGUGCACAGUGGGACCAAGAACAAGGGGAUAUUUGCUGGACAAUAAUUCACAAUAUCCUUCUUCUUGAACUUCAUCACCUUAUGAAAGCAGGUCAUUAUAAGCAUCUUCUUUUUGCAAAGAAAGUAACUGACAAUCAGAAAGAUUAAAUACCUUGCUCUCUGGGUUUUACUAACUAAGAAAACCAGGAAGCAAACUUGGAUCUAAUUGACUCCAAAGCCCCUAUUUUUUGCCAAUGCCCUCUCUAGUCCAGCAUCUGUAUCUAUCAUCUAUGUAUCUGUAUCAUCUAUCUAUUCUGUAUCUAUAAAUGUGAGAAGUAUUUUCCUAAAGGUUUAUCUUUUCCAGCUGUACUGUUUUUGAGUUCAGCCUUCUUCUGUUGUUGUUUAUAUAAAUCUGACUCCUACCUACUUUUGUCAAAAUUAUUUCAUACUCUUAAGCACAUAAAAGUCUGUUACUAUAACUGGAUAAAAUAUUGUAAAUAACUUUGUAAACAUAAUAGUUCAAUAUACAUUCUCUCUAAUUUAGGCUACAAUGAGACUGUGAAAAAAAUCUUGAAAACCCUGGGAGAUAUGCAUGUGGUGGUGGGAUAUAUACACACACCAAGGACUUCAAUACUCCCUAAAUUUUACUUGGGUUUUUGAACAUUUUAAAUAUUUGAAAGCCACUGGUUUUAACAUGGCUGGCAGUAGCUUUUAUAUUAUAGAAUCAAAAGGAAAUGAUUUCAGAAUAUUCUUUACUUCAGAAAUAAAAAGCUGAUUUUUUUUCUGUUCUUUGGAAAA